AGCCCCGUAGUGAGAACACGUCAAAUUGCAAAUUUGAAAACGCUUCCUUAUCGGUGCCGGGGCUUC
rnacentral:tRNA from 1 species